rnacentral:misc_RNA from 1 species
GAUGAAGAACGCAGCGAAAUGCGAUAAGUAAUGUGGAUUGCAGAAUUCAGUGAAUCAUCGAAUCUUUGAACGCACAUUGCGCCCAUUAGUAUUCUAGUGGGCAUGCCUGUUCGAGCGUCAUUAAGUCCACUUAAGCCCUGCUUAGUGUUGGGAGACUGCUCCAGCGGUGCUACCCUGUAGCUACCCUGCAGCUCCUCAAAGACAGCGGCGGAGUUGUGGUAUCCUCUGAGCUUAGUAACUUGUUCUAGCUUUCGAGUACACCACUUCCCCUGCCGUAAAACCCUUAAUUUUUAAUGGUUGACCUCGGAUCAGGUAGGAAUACCCGCUGAACUUAAGCAUAUCAAUAAGCGGAGGA